UACGGGGGGGGCAAGCGUUGUUCGGAAUUACUGGGCGUAAAGGGCCAGUAGGCGGCCAACUAAGUCCGACGUGAAAUCCCCAGGCUCAACCUGGGAACUGCGUCGGAUACUGGAUGGCUUGAAUUCGGGAGAGGGAUGUGGAAUUCCAGGUGUAGCGGUGAAAUGCGUAGAUAUCUGGAGGAACACCGGUGGCGAAGGCGACAUCCUGGACCGGCAUUGACGCUGAGGCGCGAAAGCCAGGGGAGCAAACGGG
rnacentral:rRNA from 1 species